GAUCUUUGCCCUGACUAAUGAAGAGCCUAAGGGUGAAGCUGACAUGAUCACAGGAGAAGAAGUCUUGGCUCGAGGCAAAGACUUAGCCGAGGAGUAGCUUACGAGGAAGAUAAAUUGCCGAUCCCUCUGUUGCAGGUAGUAGGUGUGACCGUGUGGCAGCGUACUGGGCAUUUAC